GUCUGUCUUCCCCUUUCGGCCAGCGUGCCUUGAGCUCCUGCUGUGCCGGCAGCGUCCUCAGUCCACGUCCGCGAGCGGAGUGACUGCAGCCCCUGAGCCCAUCCUGCUCCCCGCCCGCCCCGGCGAGCUCCUCCCCAGCGGCCCAUGGCUAAGGCUUGGAAGCUAAAUCACUUUAACAGUUUUCAGCAGGAAGAGAUUAAAGACAGUCACCAGACGGUCUCGAGGGCGACUCUAUGCCAAGUUCCAGGGCUGCCCCCCAGGCACUGAGCAGCCAGGACCCUCACCCAGAGCUGUAAACCCCGAGACCCUAUGAGCAGAUGUCGGCAGCCUUGCCAGACCCAGGAAGUGCCCCACACUCCUGCCCUCAGACUGCUCUCCCAGCCUCCAGAGACCGACUGCAACGUGGCCCAGGUGUGCACCGGCCGGGCAAGAGGCUGGACCCAGGCUGCGUUCCCACCCCACUCUUGCCUGUCUUCACACACCUGCUCUUCAGCAAUGGAGAGUCUCGUGAUUUUUAGAAGUCAGAUGCUUGACCUAGUGCUCACGUCAUGUUGGGGAAUGCUUCUCCCAUGGAAAACCCCUCAACAUCCUUCAAAGCCCUGUCCUGCAAGAGUGGGCCUCGCUACCCCCGGAGUGAGCACUCAGGCCAGUAGGAGAUCAUGUGGCCAGAUGUGUAGACCAGUGCCCUCAGCCCUGGGCCUUCUGGCGGUCCUGCAGAUGCUGGAGUUGGCCAGACUUGGGAUGUGGAUGGGGUGGGCAGGAGGGGUUCCACCCAGGCUGGGUGCAGCGGUGCCAACCCCUUUGCCACAGGCUGGCCUGAGAGCCCUUGGCGGUCACUUUCUCUGGACGUUCUGGGCCCCGCCUGCCCCCGCUCUCUGUUGGCCGCCUGGCAGUCCUGGGAGGACCUUCCCUGGGCAAUCACGUGGGCAGGCAGGGUGCCCGGUAGUCCAUGUGGGGAUUCCCAUCCUGCUGGCCUUGGGGGCUGGGCCCCUCGGUGACCCAACCCCCUCCCUGGCGUCCAGGCCUGACAACGCACCAGGAUGUGCUCGCGGGGACAUGGCUGCCAAGAGCGGCCGCCAGCUGGAGGUGUCGCUGGCGCCCACGUCCCCCAGGCCGGCUCCGGCUCACCAAAUACCUGGGCUUAGAGCGAUCGCCUUUCUUCCCUCCCGGCAGCGGCCGGCCCCUGGAGCAGUUCUGUUUGGGCGGCUGUCUCCCUGAGUCGUUGAGCACAGAUGGGGGAGAAGGCAGAAUUGCAAGUUUGGGUUUUUCACCCUCUUCUCAUUUCAGUUUAUGUGAGCGAAUGACUUUCAGCUGCUUCAAAGGGAUUCCACCCCCCCAUCACUUUAUUCACCGUCCGUGCUGGUGCGGGAGCUGGCCGGCCAGCACAGCUGGAGCCAAUUAAAACCCACCUAUUCAGGCUUGGCAUCCAUGAGCCACGCACACCCACCAUACACACAGACUCACACAGCGCAGCCAAAAGAGUCUUUUCAUGGCAAACCACAGCCGCAUGUGAAAGGCCUCCCAGUCCAGGCCCGAUCCUCAGAUCAGCCCCGAACAAGGAGCUCUGUGUUCCUGGGACCUCCCUCCCUCCCUGCUCCCCCCACCUGCCGGGGCCAGCCCCAGUCUGCUGUAGGCAUGUGCUGUUUCACUCCCGCUCAUUUGAAACCUUUCCCCUGAAUUGUUCCACGUAGAGGAAGCUCCCCACUGGAGCCUCAGCCAAGAGCUCCCCACUGGGGACCCGCCCCGGACACGCCGGGGAGACCAGAAGCGCAGGGCGGCUUCCCUUGGCGGGUCUUAGCCGCCGAAGAGGAGCAGGAUGAGACAGCGGAGACGCUCAAGUAAACCUUUCAAUGUCAAUGUGACGAAGUGCCCAAGGCAAGUUGACUGGGAUUUGUUCUCCAGGAUCUGAGCAGGACUUUCCUUUUUUAAAAGCUUUUUGCAUUUAUCAUCAUCUCUCAGCCAGCACUGAGGUGCCUGGAAUGUGUAAGAGAGUAUUUUUCCAAACUGAAAAUCUGAAGUAGAAGCACCAAUAAAAACAAUAAAACCAGAUCCCAGAUUUAUGAACAUGUUUUUUCACCUUCUCCCCCGGCCUCCCUCUCUGUCUGUCUCUCGGUUUUCUUUCUUCCAGUUGACUUGGGAUGACUGAAAAUGAGUGGCUUCCGCCUGGCGGGCCGGGUACCUGCGUGGUGCCCCUUUGUCCAGCCCCCGCCCCCUCUAGGCAGCCCCGGGAGACCCUCGGCCUUGCUGUGGGAGGCAGGCAGGGCUGGGCGGGGGUCCGCCCUCUCCCUGUGAACAGCUGUCUCUGCAGCGCUGAGGGAGGUCACUUUGGGAGUGAGCUCAGACACUGCAGACUGCGGGGGAAGGCGCUUGAGAACCGGCCUCCUCACUGUUUUUGCACCUUUGCACACAGCUCCUUCCAAAGCCUGCUUGGCCGUGGCAACUGCUCUGUGGCCCUUUGGAUUCUUCCAGAAGGCGUCCCUGUCUCAGCCUCUGAGCCCCAUGCCCAGAGGGAGGCUCUGGCCUUCACGGUCAGCACGGUGCCCGUGGCCCCUGCGGCCCACCUCGGCCCCCACGGGCCUGUGCCCCUGGACGGGGGCCCGGGAGCCGGAGGCCUUGAGUCAUGUUUCCUGCCCUCACACCCAGGUUUCUGGGCCCCGCGGCAGCAGCAGGCUGGGCAUGCUUUGGGGCCCACAUGACAUUUGCGCCCCCCAACCCUGAGGCUCUUCUCUCACUGGCAGGGUUGGUUUGUUUGGGGGUGAAGAAUUCCCCACAGUGGCCGUUUUCUUCAUUUAAAAGUGCUUCUUUAGCCUGACAGACAUCGAGAGCUCCAUCUCACGUAUUUUGCACAAGCAGUCUGUAGGGCAGACCCACCUCCUCCCGCCGUGAGAAGCCAGAGCUGAACUAUGCUGCCAGAGGUGCUGAGCCUCCAAGGUAAACAGCAUCGCGUUUGCUUUAAUAUUAUUUUAAGUGAAGGCAAUUAGGCCUGCAAUUUAGUUUAAUCUUUCACCAGAUCCUAUUUUUCAGAUCCUAACCAUUUAGGGGUUAAAACAUUCAUCCUUCUUUUUCCUUCCACGUGGUGGGGACUGCUCAGUACGGGUGGCUGGAGAUUGCCCAGCAGGCGGGUCUGUAUGGAGAAGCAGGCACAGGCCCCUCCUGAGGCAGGGAUGCUGGGCAGGUGUUAAAGGGCAGGCCCGGAAGUCCGGGACGCUGCCCGAGGGCACCCUGCUCCCCUGGCCUCAAGGUCAGCGAGGGCUCCGGGAGAGUGGGUCACUCUGGGGAGCCUGAGCCGGGGGGGAAGGACUGGGUGCUGUUGUUGGGGUGUUUAUGUGCCCCCCUGUGUUUCUUCAUUUCUCUUCCUCAUGCACACAGUAAGGUCCCCUUGCUUUAGACUAGUCUUUAAAAAUCGGUGCGUUGUUUUCUUUGCUUUUUAAUUAAAGUGACCCAUUCUUUUACAUUUGGAGGCAUUUUAUACUUAGAGCGACGAUAGCCCCAGCAAAGCACUACAACGGCCAUUCCCCUCACUCUUGCUCACUAAAAACCCCUGUUUCAUUUCUGCAACUUCCUUUUCAUUUUACCUGCAGUUUAAAAAAAGACAUAAUCAAUUUUUUGUCAAUUCACUGUCAAUUUAAGAUUUUAAGAUUUAAUUUUUAAUAUUUUUAGCAAUCUGCUGACGUCCUGCUAUCGAAGGUGAAGGCUCAGGGUUUUGAACCCUCAGUUCCCCACGUUGCGAGUAGUGACUCAUCAUGGGUGUAGCCGUGUUACGUCCACGCGGAUGCCACCGGGGACACCUGGCCGGGGAACCCUGGCUGGGCAGCACGGUUGUCACCCCCUGGCAUUGCCAUUCUCUUCUAGACAAGAGACAUU
rnacentral:lncRNA from 1 species